rnacentral:rRNA from 1 species
GACGACGCUGGCGGCGUGCCUAAUACAUGCAAGUAGGACGAGUUGCGAACGGGUGAGUAACGCGUGGUAACCUACCCAUCAGAGGGGGAUAACACUUGGAAACAGGUGCUAAUACCGCAUACUGAUGGAUGGACCCGCGGUGCAUUAGCUAGUUGGUGAGGUAACGGCUCACCUAGGCGACGAUCCCUAGCUGGUCUGAGAGGAUGACCAGCCACACUGGAACUGAGACACGGUCCAGACUCCUACGGGAGGCAGCAGUGGGGAAUAUUGCACAAUGGGCGCAAGCCUGAUGCAGCCAUGCCGCGUGUAUGAAGAAGGCCUUCGGGUUGUAAAGUACUUUCAGCGGGGAGGCGUUACCCGCAGAAGAAGCACCGGCUAACUCCGUGCCAGCAGCCGCGGUAAUAC